CACUUCUGAGCAACAUGGUUUGUUUUUCUGUCAACCCUUGCUUUAUUUGGAUCCCUUGUUCAUUUACAUUUCAUGUAAUUAGUGCUGUACUGGGUGUAAAUCGAUGAUCUUAAUUGCUUUUCAUUUUCCCAGCCUAGUCCAUCUUAGGUUUCUGUCUCCUGUUUUGGGUUAUUUAAAAAAAGUUCUAGUUUUCCCCUGUUUGUUAGCUGAAUCAUACACCUUCUUAUUAUUCUUCAGGUGGUUACUCCUGCCUCGUCUCAGAACCUCGGGACUUGGUACUUUGUACCUGGUGUCCGCCCGCCCCUUGCCCUCCAGCUCUCCAGUCCUUGCAGCUUCUUGGAUCUUCCUUCCACCCCCCACUCACCACCACCCCCCCCCCCCCGCCCUUUAGCAUUUCCUUUAGUGCUGAUCUGGCGGUGAUGCGUUAUUUCCCGUUUUUGCCUGAAAACAUCUGACUUUUCAUUUCUUUAAAAAUUUUUUUAAAAUUUUUAAAAAUGUUUUUACUUAUUUUUGAGACAGAGAGAGACAGAGCAUGAGCAGGGGAGAGGCAGAGAGAGAGGGAGACACGGAAUCUGAGGCAGGCUCCGGGCUCUGAGCUGUCAGCACAGAGCCUGACGUGGGUUCGAACUCACAGAGUGUGGUAUCAUGACCUGAGCUGAAGUCGGACGCUCAACCGAUUGAGCCACCCAGGUGCCCCUCUUUAAUAAAAACUUUAAUGUUAAUUUAUUUGUGAGACAAAGAGUGUGAGCGGGGGAGGAACAGAGAGAGAAGGAGACACAGAAUCGGAAGCAGGCUCCAGGCUCCGAGCUGUCAGCACAGAGCCCAACACGGGGCUCGAACUCACGAACUGUGAGAUCAUGACCUGAGCCGAAGUCGGGAGCUUAACCGACAGAACCCCCCAGGCGCCCCUGUACUUUUCAUUUAAAGGGCAUUUUCAUGGAGUUGUGGAUUCUAGGUUGGUAGCUGCAGUCUUCCCGCCCCUCUGCAGCCCUCCCACUUUCCCGUCCGCAUCCGGAAUUCUUCUUGAAGCCUUACUACUGCCCCUUUUAAGGUACCUUCUCUUUCUGCUCCUUUUAAAGUGAUGUCUUUUUCUUUGGCUGCUUCAAAGCCUUCUCUUUGCCUUUGAUUUUCAGCAGUUUUACUCUUACUUUGAGGAGGGUCAUUCAUUUGCUCAUCCUGUUCCGUCUCUCGCUUUGCUCUCGGCAGGGCUCCGAGUUACGAGUUUGUCGCUGCCGAAAUCCUGCAAUCAGAACUUCGUUUGCAAACUCACCAGGUCCUACGUAGCUGACGUCGCCGAGGACAUACGGUGUCCCACGCCACACCGAAGCUCUGAUUGCUUCCUCUUACGUUCCUCGUACCUUUUUCUGGAAUAAACCAAAGGCACACUGAAUGGAUUCUGCCGUACUUGCUACCGGCGUUUCUUUAACACCCACGGCUCUUUCCUCCUCCUCUGCUCGUGCCUGGGCAUCACUUACCGCUGCUGGGGAUGGUGCUGGGCCUGAGGAGGUUUCUAGACUUUGCUACAAACCAUGUGAACCUGACAAAGUAUGCACACGAUAUACAAACAAUUCUUUUAUUUAUUUAUUUUGAAUAAAAAAGUGGCCAAGAUAA